rnacentral:rRNA from 1 species
CAAGUCGAACGAGAAAGUGGAGCAAUCCAUGAGUAAAGUGGCGUACGGGUGAGUAACACGUGGAUAAUCUGCCCUUUAGUGGGGAAUACCGUUGGGAAACCGACGACAAUACCGCAUAAUCCCGAGAGGGGAAAGCAGCAAUGCGCUGAAGGAGGAGUCCGCGGUCGAUUAGCUAGUUGGCGGGGUAAAAGCCCACCAAGGCUGUGAUCGAUAGCCGGCCUGAGAGGGCACACGGCCACACUGGCACUGAAACACGGGCCAGACUCCUACGGGAGGCAGCAGUGGGGAAUCUUGCACAAUGGGGGAAACCCUGAUGCAGCGACGCCGCGUGAGCGAUGAAGCCCUUCGGGGUGUAAAGCUCUUUCGGCAGGGACGAUAAUGACGGUACCUGCAGAAGCAGCUGCGGCUAACUACGUGCCAGCAGCCGCGGUAAUACAUAGGCAGCAAGCGUUGUCCGGAGUUACUGGGCGUAAAGGGUGCGUAGGCGGUCCUGUAAGUAUGGUGUGAAAUCUCCCGGCUUAACCGGGAGGGUGCGCUAUAGACUGCGGGACUAGAGUGUGGGAGAGGAAAGUGGAAUUCCUGGUGUAGCGGUGAAAUGCGUAGAUAUCAGGAGGAACACCGGCGGUGUAAACGGCUUUCUGGACCAUAACUGACGCUGAGGCACGAAAGCGUGGGUAGCAAACAGGAUUAGAUACCCUGGUAGUCCACGCCCUAAACGAUGCAUAUUUGGUGUGGGCCAUUCAGUUGGUCCGUGCCGGAGCUAACGCGUUAAAUAUGCCGCCUGGGGAGUACAGUCGCAAGGCUGAAACUCAAAGGAAUUGGCGGGGGCCCGCACAAGCGGUGGAGCAUGUGGUUUAAUUC